rnacentral:rRNA from 1 species
UACGGAGGGUGCGAGCGUUGUCCGGAAUCACUGGGCGUAAAGGCGCGUAGGCGGCCGUGUAAGUCACUUGUGAAAUCCCGGGGCUCAACUCCGAGGCUGCAGGUGAGACUGCGUGGCUAGAGCUUGGUAGAGGCGAGUGGAAUUCCCAGUGUAGCGGUGGAAUGCGUAGAUAUCGGGAGGAACACCGAUGGCGAAGGCAGCACUCUGGGCCGGUACUGACGCUGAGGAGCGAAAGCGUGGGGAGCGAACAGG